rnacentral:rRNA from 1 species
UACGGAGGGUGCGAGCGUUGUCCGGAAUCACUGGGCGUAAAGGGCGCGUAGGCGGCGCGGAUAGUCGGCGGUGAAAGCCCGGAGCUCAACUCCGGGUCGGCCGGCGAUACUUCCGGGCUUGAGCACUGUAGAGGCAGAUGGAAUUCCGGGUGUAGCGGUGGAAUGCGUAGAGAUCCGGAAGAACACCGGUGGCGAAGGCGGUCUGCUGGGCAGUUGCUGACGCUGAUGCGCGACAGCGUGGGGAGCAAACAGG